AUUGAACGCUGGCGGCAGGCCUAACACAUGCAAGUCGAGCGGAUGAAGGGAGCUCGCUCCUGGAUUCAGCGGCGGACGGGUGAGUAAUGCCUAGGAAUCUGCCUGGUAGUGGGGGAUAACGUCCGGAAACGGGCGCUAAUACCGCAUCCGUCCUGAGGGAGAAAGUGGGGGAUCUUCGGACCUCACGCUAUCAGAUGAGCCUAGGUCGGAUUAGCUAGUUGGUGGGGUAAAGGCCUACCAAGGCGACGAUCCGUAACUGGUCUGAGAGGAUGAUCAGUCACACUGGAACUGAGACACGGUCCAGACUCCUACGGGAGGCAGCAGUAGGGAAUAUUGGACAAUGGGCGAAAGCCUGAUCCAGCCAUGCCGCGUGUGUGAAGAAGGUCUUCGGAUUGUAAAGCACUUUAAGUUGGGAGGAAGGGCAGUAAGUUAAUACCUUGCUGUUUUGACGUUACCAACAGAAUAAGCACCGGCUAACUUCGUG
rnacentral:rRNA from 1 species